rnacentral:rRNA from 1 species
UACGUAGGAGGCGAGCGUUGUCCGGAAUCACUGGGCGUAAAGGGCGCGUAGGUGGUUUGAUAAGGGUGUGGUGAAAGUCCGGAGCUCAACUCCGGAUCUGCCGUGCCGACUGUCAAACUCGAGGGCUGUAGAGGCAGACGGAAUUCCGGGUGUAGCGGUGGAAUGCGUAGAGAUCCGGAGGAAGACCGGUGGCGAAGGCGGUCUGCUGGGCAGUUUCUGACACUGAGGCGCGACAGCGUGGGGAGCAAACAGG